rnacentral:rRNA from 1 species
UGGGGAAUAUUGGACAAUGGGCGAAAGCCUGAUCCAGCCAUGCCGCGUGAGUGACGAAGGCCUUAGGGUUGUAAAACUCUUUCGUCGGGGACGAUAAUGACGGUACCCGAAGAAGAAGCUCCGGCUAACUUCGUGCCAGCAGCCGCGGUAAUACGAAGGGAGCUAGCGUUGUUCGGAAUCACUGGGCGUAAAGCGCAUGUAGGCGGAUAGUUAAGUCAGGGGUGAAAUCCUGGGGCUCAACCCCAGAACUGCCUUUGAUACUGGCUGUCUCGAGGUCGAGAGAGGUUGGUGGAAUUCCUAGUGUAGAGGUGAAAUUCGUAGAUAUUAGGAAGAACACCAGUGGCGAAGGCGGCUCACUGGCCCGAUACUGACGCUGAGGUGCGAAAGCGUGGGGAGCAAACAGGAUUAGAUACCCCAGUAGUCCCUGAGCGGGCUGGCAAGGCGCAU